CUCCUCCAGCCCUCCCGUGAGCCACCAGCCCAGGAAGCCUGUGGUCAUGGUCAGGCCACGGAACUACGGAACAGCCUCCUGCUGCCCAGGAAGGACCCCCGGGCCAGGUCCAAGGUCCUGGAUCUGAGAUUACAGGUGCUCUGGAGUAGUGAAGGCGUCAGCAGCUGCGUCCAGGAGAAAACUUAGGAGGGGAGUGGGCACCAGCACUCUACAGGACGGAGGAGCACACCGCGGGAUCACCAGCCACAGGGAGGGGCCUUUCUGCCCAGGAGGAGCCCCUCCCCUGCCAUCUCCUGCUCCUGUCUCAGCAGCCCCUCCCCAUAGAAGCAGUUGGUUCUGCUCCUGGUGCUGGGCACCCCCUGGAUCUCCAAGGAGGCCCCUCCUUCCUCCCAAAUGGAGGGGGGGCUGCCUGUGUGCUCCCCAACCCCACCGAGGGCAGUCUCGGCACCUCUCCCCUCCCCUAGGGCUGCAGGUGGCUCUGGGUGUGGGGGGCCAGGGCCACCUUCAGUGAGAUGGAAAGGAGGGCGCCACGUUCCCAGCCGCCUGUGGCCAGACCACCACCUGGCCACUGAGGAGAGAGGGGCCGUGGGCUCGCCCUAGUCCUCAGCAGCCCCUGCGCACUCUUGACAGAGCCGGGACUCCAGGGGUCUCCUCAGUGAAACGAAGAGCACAGGGUAGGAACGUUCUCCGCACAACAGGGGCGACACCCAGAGGGCCCUGCAGGCCCAGAACAAAGCCCUGACCCUGUGGGGCAGCAAGAGCAGAUUGGUUCUCGUCCUAGCCAUCCACAGCGGGAAGGGCAGCAGCUCCAGGCACGGAAGUGGAGGGAGCAUGUGCUCUUCGUCCUGUGGGGCCAGGGGUGUGCUGGGGAGAGCGAUGCCACUGGAAGCUAGGUCCGGCCAGAGAGCCUCCCUCCAGCCAGGGGUGUGGGGGUCUGUGCAUGUGGCGGCAACAUGUGUAUCCAGCCCAGGAGGCUGUGCUGCCCACAGCAAAAGCACUCAGGAACAUGUGUGUGCUCAGAGGAGCAUGCCUGUAACGGCGGAACAUGAGUUGUGUGAGCAAAGGAACCUCCCAGGUCAGGGGAGUGACCCUUGGGGCUUGUGGGACCCUGUCUGCAAACGGUGUGGGAUCCUUCCUUCUGGGCCCAGGAAGGAGACCCCAGGCCCUGCCACCAGGUUGUGGGACACUCGGAGCUUGGCCUGAAGUGCCAGUUGCUGCAGUGAGGCUCCAGGUCAUUCUGAGGCUGAGGUCACGCCGGACUUGGCCUGAGGGCCAGGGUCACUCUGCCGGGAAAACAGGCUCCGGGGCUGGGCUGCACACCAGAGCCUGGCUUCCACGUGGUCUGGCUGAGACCCAGUUCUGAGGCGUCUGCUCCAGAGACAAACGCCCAGGCACACCCAGCCCCAGGCCCACCGUGAUGCUGGGCAGCAGCUCUCCAGGAAGUAACACCUGAGGAUGGGAGUGGCUGCUGGGGGCGCCCAGGAGGCCCUGACACGUCUGAGACGCCGGAGCGGCGAGACCGGCGCAGAACGGGCGGCCCCGAGCACUGCUGCGACCCCGCCGGCCUCGACCUCGACACCCCGCGACCCCGCCGGACCCUGGAAGCAUGAGCUGCAUCCCGCAUCCGCAGGAGGGCGGCGCUGCGACCCACCCCCGCCCCCGUUUCCAGAGGAGGCCGCUGCGGCGCGGGGCGGUCCCACGUGGUGCCUGAGGCUGGGACACCCCGACUCUGAUUGCAGGGGGGUCGGAUCCGAGGCUGGGGGUCCCGCAGUCUGGCUGGGGUCCGCUACUGGCCUCGACGUACAGGGGCCGACCCCACCCCUACCUCGUUCUCUGAGCCUCAGCUUCCCCCCGUGAGAGGUGGAGGCGGUGGGGGGGCGCACCGGGCACGACCCCGCGGCAAUGACGGGGCUGGCAACGCCCCCCACAGCGGCACAGGCGGAUAAACCCUCUGGGGAGGGAGUUCAGUCCCAGCGGGAGGGGCCCUUCCCACCCGGGAGCUCGCCCCAAACCGGGUGGAGAGGGGGUGGGGGGGGGGUGCAGAUCGCGGCGCCUCCCUGCCCUCUGGCCCUGCUGAGACUCCACCGCCCACCCCACCUCCCGGUAGCAGAAGGGGCAGAAGCAGAGACGUUUCCUCUGCAGACAUCGGGGAGGGUGGGGUCAGGGCCGCGCGUUUCCAGCCCUGAGGCUCUUCCCGGGAACCCACCUCCCAGACCUUUGCUGGAGUGGCACCCACGCUCCCGAGACGCCCAGGCAGUUUCUGGGGGGAUCUGCUUAUACAGAGCAGCCGCCCCUGAGGUCAAAACCCUGCCCAGGGUUCCCUUACACGAUUUACGGAAGAGUCACAAAGAUUGUAUAAGAGGGCUCCCUAGACGCUGACAUUGCAGCCACCGAGUGUUCGUCAAAGCUGAGACCUGGACAUGGUACCAGCGACCACCCCACUGAAGACUUCAUGUGGGCCUCACCACUUUUCCAGAUCCGCCUCCCGGGUUCACGCAAUUCCCUUGCCUCCGCCUCCUGAGUACCUGGGACUACAGGCACGCGCCACCACGCCUGGCUAAUUUUUGUAUUUUCAGUAGAGACGGGUUUCACCGUAUUGGCCAGGGUGGUCUCGAACUCCUGACUGCCUGAUCCGCCUGCCUCGGCCUCCUAAAGUGCUGGGAUUACAGGCAUGAGCCACUGCACCCAGCCCAAUGUUAAUUUUUAAGAAUGGAAAAAUGCUUUUUAACUUGAAAUAAAACUACGGGGAAAAUUAUAGAAUUGAAUGAAAAAUUAAACAAUAUCUAAAUAAAGAAAGACACUUGUUAUUUUUCUGGCCAGGGUAACUCCACACGUAAAGACGUCCAUCCUCCCCAAACUCCGAAGAAUUAAGAAGAAAAUUCUGUGAAAUCUGACAAGCUGAGUGUUGCAUACAGACCUGCAAAAGGCCCAUUUGCCAGGACAGACACCUGAAGGAAAAAGAGGAGAGUGAGGUCCACCAGAUACCAAGACAGAAUGAUGAUGGUGCAGUGGGAGGAAGACAGACAACGGGCCCAGAGUGGGGAGCCCAUCCCCAGACCCCCACAGACACAGGACCCCCACGUGGGACCAGAGACAGAGGUGGAGGCUCAGGACCCUGGAGAAAGAAUGCAGUAUCCCCAGAUGGGACAGGAUACUUAAUGGGAAAGAAUAAAACUGGACCCCUGCACAACACACAGACACAUUCUUAUUGAUUGUAGAACUAAACAUGAAUCCCAAAUAAAUGUAGGCAAAGAAAAA